ACGGGAGGCAGCAGUGGGGAGUAUUGCACAAUGGAGGAAACUCUGAUGCAGCAACGCCGCGUGAGGGAAGACGGUCUUCGGAUUGUAAACCUAAGUUUUCAGGGACGAAGAAAGUGACGGUACCUGAAGAGAAAGCUCCGGCUAACUACGUGCCAGCAGCCGCGGUAAUACGUAGGGAGCAAGCGUUGUCCGGACUUACUGGGUGUAAAGGGUGCGUAGGCGGGUUUGCAAGUCGGGCGUGAAAUACCGAGGCUUAACCUCGGAGCUGCGCUUGAAACUGUAGAUCUUGAGUGAAGUAGAGGCAAGCGGAAUUCCUAGUGUAGCGGUGAAAUGCGUAGAUAUUAGGAGGAACACCAGUGGCGAAGGCGGCUUGCUGGGCUUUAACUGACGCUGAGGCACGAAAGCAUGGGGAGCAAACAGGAUUAGAUACCCUGGUA
rnacentral:rRNA from 1 species